AGAGUUUGAUCAUGGCUCAGGAUGAACGCUGGCGGCGUGCCUAAUACAUGCAAGUCGAGCGGCAGCACGGUCUUCGGACUGGUGGCGAGCGGCGGACGGCUGAGUAACGCGUAGGAAUAUACCCCAAAGUGAGGGAUAACUGCCCGAAAAGGUGGCUAAUACCGCAUGUGGUCUUCGGACUAAAGCCUUCGGGCGCUUUGGGAAUAGCCUGCGUAAGAUUAGCUAGUUGGUGAGGUAAUGGCUCACCAAGGCGACGAUCUUUAGCUGGUCUGAGAGGAUGACCAGCCAGACUGGAACUGAGACACGGUCCAGACUCCUACGGGAGGCAGCAGUAGGGAAUUUUCCACAAUGGGCGAAAGCCUGAUGGAGCAACGCCGCGUGCAGGAUGAAGGCCCUCGGGUCGUAAACUGCUUUUAUGUGCGAAGAAUAUGACGGUAACACAUGAGUAAGGGUCGGCUAACUACGUG
rnacentral:rRNA from 1 species